UCUACCGUGGUUCGCAAACCUCCCACGUAAAAAAACUAGGACACU
rnacentral:ncRNA from 2 species